rnacentral:rRNA from 1 species
CCCUACGGGGUGCAGCAGGUCCGAAGGGUCUUUGGCAUAAGCCAGCAGCAGGGCAUCCUCAAUCUCAUGGUGAAUUUCAGGUUUGAGUUCUUCCAAUUCUCCAAGGUAAACGUAAAAGCCCAAAGCGUUGGCUGCAGCAGCCCGCACGAAUUCCGCUUCAUCAGCAGCCGAAAGCAUGCGCAAAUAAGUAGGAACAAGCUUGGGGUCUUCUGCCUCCAAAAGCAGGCUGAUCGCGCUCACUUCACAUUCCGCGUCCCCGUCCUCCAGACCUAUUCGCCCGAUGUCCUCAAACAUCAACAGGUUGUCAUGCUCUGAAAGUUCUAGCAGGUCCUGCAAUACGGCUCUCCUGCGCACGACAGGAAUGGUAUGCCAGGCACUGGCAAGUAUCUUGCGGUCAACAGUCGGCAUGUCUGAGAAUUGAUAAAGCAGGCGGGGCGGGAGAGC